rnacentral:lncRNA from 1 species
AAAUAAUAAUAAUAAAAUAUAAAGGCAUCUUAAGCAUAAAACUAUCAUAACAUUAAAGACUUAAAAUAACAUUAAACAUCGCUAUUAGUGAGGGAUUUAGAUCGUUUUUUUUUUCCCUCUCCAAUUCAGAAAAACUAGUAAGGUUUAAUAUGAAGCUUCUCAUGGCAUCCUUGUAUACAAUUGCUCAAGUGAAUUUAUUUCAGAACCUGCAAAAGAAAAAUGUGAAUAUCUACAUAAUGAAAAUAUAAAAAAUAAUUAAAAUGAAAAUAUUACAAUAUAGCUCAGUUGACUACCAAAAAUAACAAUAUUGCCUCAAUUGAUUNNNNNNNNNNNNNNNNNNNNNNNNNNNNNNNNNNNNNNNNNNNNNNNNUAAUGAUUCUAACAUUUUAUGUUAUAUUCCAAAACUAACCUUUGACUAGCAUGAGAAAUAGACUUCUCUAAUUAAUGCACUAGCAUUAUAAUGAAUUAUUUGAUUGUAUUUAAUAAGGGUACAAAUGGAAUCAUGUCAAAGUGUUUCUUAUAAAAAAGACCAAAUAAAAAUUCCAAAGUGUUUCUUAUAAAAAGGACCGGAGGGAGUACUAGACUAAAAGGAUAUGAAGAUAAAUUACAUUGAAAGAUAUUUCUAUUACUUUCAAUUUCAAAGUUGUAAUUAAGUUAAUCAGGAUAUUGAGUUUAAGUGGUUAAUGAACUUCCCUUAUAACGGAUUGUUUGGGAGAACUUGAGUUAGAUUCCUAGUGGGAAUAAUUCAUGGUCACACUUUUCUUACCUCGCGGUCGAACUCUAGAUUAUUGAGACUCAUUCUCCUGAGAAUCAGAGGGUUAAUACCAACAAAUUAUUAGGAUAAUUAUCUGUUAUUAUCUUUUUUGAUCUUUGUUAUUAUUAUAUUUUUUCUAUGUUUAUCAAAUAUUGUUUACAUCGUUUCUUAAGUUUGUUAUUACUAAGAUAAUUAUCUUUUAAAAAUCAUGUCUCUAUAUAAUAUAAUUUUUUUUAUUAAAAAAUUUGAAUUUCAUAAGUUUGUUAUUUAAGAUAACUUUGUAUUAAAAUAUCAAAAUUUUUAUAAAAAUAUUUUACUAGAUUUUGAUUUAAAAGUGAUAAUCAAGUUAAAAAUAAUAAUAAAUACCAAACAAUUUUAACUUUGACUUUAAAUUUUUUAUUUUAUUCUCAAAGUAAUUUUUAAGCCUUAAAAAAAAGUCAAACGCAACCUAACUAUUUCAAAACCACUUAAACACUCUUAAGCCUUUGAGGAUAAACAACAACCAUUAGACAUAUCUAAACAAAUUUUUUUUAAUGUUGUAUAUUUUUCGCACGCAACUAUGGAUAUUAAGUUAUCGAGUCAUGUGGGAUUCAAAUAGAUGAAAAAUUCUUCCUAAACGUUUUAACGUUACUACAUGGUCGGUCAAAAAUUAAAUCUAAAAUAUUAGUUAAAUUAUAAGAGACAUGUGUCAUUUAGUUAAAUUAAUUGAACUUUAAUCUUCUCUAAUCCAGAUGCUUAGAUGAAUACAAUAUUAUACUAUUGGGCAAAAAUACAAAAAAUUAAUCUACUCAACCAUAUAUUUUCUUUUGUUUUUUUCCAAUUUAGUAGCUAAAAUGUUUUUUUUUUUAAGAUGAAUAACCGAGAAAGUGAGAAUCAUAUAGAAAACACACUACCAUCAAUGGCAAGCACACAAGAAAUAUUCUAUGAUUUAAUAAUAAUAGCUUAAAAGUUCUCUCUUUGUGCCGAUCCUAAUUUUUUUCUCUUUGAGUUUUUUUUCUCUACCGGUUAAGGGGUGGUUUUAUGUCAUUUUUGGCCUAAUAUCACCCUUCAACAUCUUUUUUUUCUUCUUUGCUUUUAAUCUAGAUAUAUAUAAGUGAUUUUCACAUAGAUUGAGUCUUUUAGUUAUUUUCUUUUGUAGUUAUGAUUUCGUCGUCCGAGUGCGGCGUUGUGCUUGUCAUCGUCUUGGUACGGCGUUGUUUGAUUUAUCGUCUUGUUGCGGUAUUCGUUUACUUCAUAUUGAAAUGUCAUCUUCAAUCAAUUUCAGAUGCAAUCAAUGAUUUAGGCAUCAACGCUGCAGAUCCGAAAGCAUGGACAUUCCUAUGACUUUUAUUUUAUUAUAUUAUUUGUAAGCAUUUUGCCGCCGUCUACUAUUAACUUAGAUGAUGUGUGUUUAUUCUCAUAUUUAUCAUUUUUGUUUUUCGCUAUGUUGAUUUUUUAUUUAUAUUCUAUCAAUUAUUUGAAUGAAUAUCGUCAUGUUUUAGUAAAAUAAAAAAGUGAGGAACCAUAUAUUUCCAUUAUUUAUUAAUAAAAUAACUGAUUAUAAUUAUUGCUUUUUUAGGUAACUAAUUAUAAUUAUGAAGUGACAAUGUGACAUUAUUUGUACAUCAUCUAUGAAUGAAUGAAAGGUAACGUUAUACUUCAUCCGUCAUUAUAAGCAAAAAAUUAUUUUUCAGGUUCAUUAGAAAAUUGAUGUAUUUAACUUAUAUUAUAAAUCAAAUACAUUAAUUUUUCAAUAACGUUAAAAGUAAUUUUUUUGCUUAUAAUAGCUAGUAAAAAAAUUAAAAAUUCGAUGAAAAAUAAAUCAGUGUAUGAGAAAAACAUCAUACAGUAAGAAAUAACAUAAAUAUACUUUUGUACUCACAUUCACAAAAACCACCAACACACACUUUCCGUCGAGGAUACNNNN